rnacentral:rRNA from 1 species
UACGAGGGGGGCAAGCGUUGUUCGGAAUUACUGGGCGUAAAGCGCACGUAGGCGGCUUUGUAAGUUAGAGGUGAAAGCCCAGGGCUUAACCCUGGAAUUGCCUUUAAGACUGCAUCGCUCGAAUUGUGGAGAGGUGAGUGGAAUUCCGAGUGUAGAGGUGAAAUUCGUAGAUAUUCGGAAGAACACCAGUGGCGAAGGCGACUCACUGGACACAUAUUGACGCUGAGGUGCGAAAGCGUGGGGAGCAAACAGGG